CUAUAUUAUAUAAUCUCCAUUCUCCCAUAAACUAAUUCUACAUUUUUAAAUAUGUAGAUUUUGUUUAUAAGCUGAAUUCCAAUCCUCUUUCUUCUUUUUAACCUUCCUUACAGGAGCUGCUGAUUUUAACUUGUUUUAUAGAAAACUCCCUCUCAAGAUAAAAAAAUACUUGCAUACUAACAUCUUGCUACUUGCAAUUGCAUCCUAGUGCUGAAUAACAGGAAAUAGAUUAAAAACCCAGCGUGCUUUGUUUUUUAUUGCAUCUUUUCAAUUUAUUCUGGGAAAACCUUUCUCCUGCUUAUCUGUCUACUUUUUCAACAGUCUUCUGUGAUUGGAUUAUGAAUUCCAAUCCUCUUUCUUCUAUUUAACCUGCAUCAAAUACUGAUCACAGCCCAUUACCAAUUCAAU
rnacentral:lncRNA from 1 species